UACGUAGGGGGCUAGCGUUGUCCGGAAUCAUUGGGCGUAAAGCGCGCGUAGGCGGCCCGGUAAGUCCGCUGUAAAAGUCAAAGGCUCAACCUUUGAAUGUCAGUGGAUACUGCCGGGCUAGAGUCCGGAAGAGGCGAGUGGAACUCCUGGCGUAGCGGUGGAAUGCGCAGAUAUCAGGAAGAACACCGACGGCGAAGGCAGCUCGCUGGGACGUACUGACGCUGAGCACGACGAAGCGUGGGAGCAACAGG
rnacentral:rRNA from 1 species